UAGCUUUUACAUCUGAGCUGACGUCAUAGGGUAUGGAAUAUCCCCUUCGUCACUUUGGGUCAGGUGGCCUACUUGGGUCCCCUCCCAGGAUCUUGCCCUCAACUGAGGAAGGAAUCUUACAGUGCUCAUGCUGUGCUCAGAGCUUUGGGCAAUUCAGAUGCUGUGGCAAGAAUCCAAAUGGCAAGCAACACGGGAGCCUGAGUUAGUGAACUACAUCGUCAUGGGCAUUCCUACCAGCCCAGGUUUUUGAAAGAUAAACUAAUCCCAUCAUGAUGGAGCCUGACCAGUCCAGACCAGAUGCCCCUGAGAGCAAGGAGUUGCUCUAAAGACUCCUUCUGAUCCUCAAAAAUUUGUAAUGAAAACCUUUUGUAAUUGUGCUGAUCUUCAAAGAAGCGAUGUGAAAAUUCAUGAUGGGGAUGUCAAGUCACAAGAGUCAAUAUUUAAAAAAAAUAUAUCAUUUGCCAGGACUGCCAGCUGCUGGCCAGACCCUGAAUUAGCUGCCUUCUUCAAACAGAGAUGUCCCCCAUCUGCUGAAUAAAAUGCUCCUUUUGUGCACGUUUUCACAGCUGAGGUUUGAACCAAGA